rnacentral:tRNA from 1 species
GCGGGGGUAGCCAAGCUUGGCCAAAGGCGCAGGACUUAAGAUCCUGUCUCAUAGGAGUCCGUGGGUUCGAAUCCCUCCCCCCGCA